CAGCAAACUUUCUGAGGGUGUGCUCAAUCCCACUGUCUAUGCUGUUAAGAUGUUGAAGAGCACCAGUCCCAACACAGACCCCUGAAGGACAACAUUUGUGUCUGGCCUCCAUAUGGACAUAAGGCCAUUGACAACAGCCCUCUGUUGUCAGCUACAGUCAUUCAAUCAGUUCUUUAUCCAUCUGAUAGUCCAGCACUACGACCAGAUAACCAUUAAAUCAAGAAAAUGAUUUUUAGCCAUUUAUGCAUUUUAAGUAUCUUAUUUGUCAUUGUAGUAAAUGAGCAUAUACAAAUGAUUUGUAAUUAAUUUUGCAUAUUUUUGCACAAACUAAAUGCUUCUUUCUGUGACAUAUGGUUCUGAACUUCAUUAACUAUUGAUAAUAUUGUUAUUGGGUGGUAUUGAUAUACAAAAAAUAUAUGUAUAUUGCUGUUGAUGAUUUUUAAUUAAUUCUUUGUAAUAGGUGAACUUCUCUUCAGCAGAUGUGUGGGAAUUGCUAAGUCACAGCCCGAACCAAUGAUUGAGUACCUGGUGAAGGGACACAGCCAGUUCUGGGAGCACAGGUGAAAGCAAUUCCCUGUGCAACCAGAACCUGGUUUCACCCCUCCCUAACCCUCAUUUAAGGGCUGGCUACCACAAGUGAAGGAUAUCUACCUGGAGAUCCCUCUGUUUGAAGUAUUCAGUGAGCCCUAGUCCUUAGGAUGGACCCUGCUGGCCCAGCUGGCUGUGUGGGAGGCCAGAAGGAGCAUUGCUUCUGACCAGGUCCCCUAGACAUCAAGCAGCUCAUACCGCUGCCAUCAGCGUUUAGAAUAAUGCGAACAAGAGAGAAAUGAAGAAUUAUAAUGUGGCCUGAAGCAAGAGCUCUGGAUGAACUAUCAUCUGCAAUUGCUCCAGGUACUCCAGCACCUUUGCCAGCAUAUCCUCGUCCAGAUACUGCCUAUUUUGUGUGUCAUCGGUGUCCCCAGCCAUGGAG